UGACUGCCGCGAAUAUAAUUGAUGGAAGAUUAAGUCCACAGGAACAAGCAACUAUACAAGCAAUUGUUGAUGCUAGGUAAAAUUCAGUUCAUCAUUCCUUAGAACUUUGGUCUUGUGGUAUUACUGAAGCCUAUUUGGUUAUCAGCUACUAUCCUCUUUCAAUAGUAAUGGUUGGAGUGGGUGAUGGACCAUGGGAUGCGAUGCAGCAUUUUGAUGACUGUAUUCCUUAGAAAUUUUUAUCAUUGGUUCCUGAUAGACAGUUUGCCAAAAACAUGGUUCUUUCCUUCAUAAACUAAAUUUACAGGUUCAAGAGACAUUUCUAGCCCAAUUUUGCAAUAUUUUUGUUGAUUUGAUAUGGUAGAUUCACUAUUCUUUUCAGCAGGGAGUGUAAUAGGCGGCUUUAGCUCAACAUGAACUGGAGCAGGUAGGCUUGAUGGAAACAUCCCUUUGAAAUUUGAUAUUUCGGAAGCAGUAUGGAAAUUUGUUAAUGGCUCGAAAGUAGCAUCAAGCCGAGAUAUCGGCAUAGGAGGUCUGAUGGAAGUAAAUGGCUGGUUGCUUUUAGUGGAAUCAAAACCAUGCAUCGAAGGUUGAAUUUUGGUGGAAAAUUGCCUACUUGCAAGAGGAACAUCAGUAAAGUUGGGAAGAUAGACAUGUGCUGAAUUGUACGUUCCUGGUCUAGGAUAAUACACUUUCUGAAGUGGAAAAAAUGUUUGAAUAGAGUGAGGUAGCUGGUUUAUAUUGUUUAAAGGCAUCUGCCCAGAAGCAGGAACAUUUAUAAAGGAAUGCCCAUGUCUAUCUAGCAUCAGUUCUUCGUGUGUCUCUGGAUGUGUUAUCUUGAUAGUUCUCUUAUGUUCAUCACCGCUUCUAGGAUACUGCUGAGAUAAUUCUUGCACAUUUCUCAUGUU
rnacentral:lncRNA from 1 species